CGUGAGUGAUGACGGCCUUCGGGUUGUAAAGCUCUGGUUAAUCGGGGACGAAAGGCCUUCUUGCGAACAGUUAGAAGGAUUGACGGUACCGGAAUAGAAAGCCACGGCUAACUACGUGCCAGCAGCCGCGGUAAUACGUAGGUGGCAAGCGUUGUCCGGAAUUAUUGGGCGUAAAGCGCGCGCAGGCGGAUCAGUUAGUCUGUCUUAAAAGUUCGGGGCUUAACCCCGUGAUGGGAUGGAAACUGCUGAUCUAGAGUAUCGGAGAGGAAAGUGGAAUUCCUAGU
rnacentral:rRNA from 1 species